rnacentral:rRNA from 1 species
UACGGAGGGGGUUAGCGUUGUUCGGAAUUACUGGGCGUAAAGCGCACGUAGGCGGAUUAGUCAGUCAGAGGUGAAAUCCCAGGGCUCAACCCUGGAACUGCCUUUGAUACUGCUAGUCUUGAGUUCGAGAGAGGUGAGUGGAAUUCCGAGUGUAGAGGUGAAAUUCGUAGAUAUUCGGAGGAACACCAGUGGCGAAGGCGACUCACUGGCUCGAUACUGACGCUGAGGUGCGAAAGCGUGGGGAGCAAACAGG